GGAAGUGCCGGGGUUGUUUUGGUUACUCUCCUGAAACCACGUGGAAGACUGCGGACGACCUCGAAGUCGCUGCGGGAGACCGUCAGAAACCGAAUCGUCCUCAGAACGGGUUGUUGGCGAGAUGUCAGCGACAAAUGAGAGCACGAGGAGUCGGGAUAUUCCCGCCAUCAGGCGCGUGACGGUGCACGAGGCGGCGCAUAUGCCACAGGACUACUGCACGACGCCCGGAGGAACCGCGUUCAGCACCACGCCGGGAGGUACAGAAUCAUCUAUGACAGAAGUUCCUCCUGAAGUGCCGGAUGUCCCCUCUGGCCUGUACACCUCCGAGUCUCCCUGAAAUCCCCGGAAUCACCACCCCGCUCAAACCAGGCAGCUCCACCGACACAAACCGGCCCGCCAACGAGACGUGUCACGACCCGGAGUCGGACGAGAGCGCCGGAGAAGACGCCCAGUUUGAAUGGACAUUUGAAGCAAGCAGCUGUGCUUUAGGAGCAUGCCGAUAGUUUCUUUUUACUGUUUUUAAUUGUGGUAUGAAAUACCACCUGAAACUAGACGGCCGUCAAUUUUAGUCACGUUUAGUAACUAUAACUGUAUUUUUGACUUUACCUAAUGUAACUAUGUAUAACCUUUGACAUUUUUGGUGCUCCAGUUAAACUGGAAUAGAAUUUUUAGCCCAACAACUGACCCUGAAUUGGCCUCCAUUUAGGAGUGGGAAUUUCC